rnacentral:rRNA from 1 species
GAUGAACGCUGGCGGCGUGCCUAAUACAUGCAAGUCGAGCGAACGGUCGAGAAGCUUGCUUCUCUGACGUUAGCGGCGGACGGGUGAGUAAUACGUGGAUAACCUAUCUAUAAGACUGGGAUAACUUCGGGAAACCGGUACUAAUUCCUGUAUUUAUUUUCAACCGUAUGGUUUAAAAACGACAGACGGUAUUGCUGUCACUUAUAGAUGGUUCCGCGCUGCAUUAGUUAGUUGUUAAGGUAACGGUUUACCAAGGCAACGAUGCAUAGCCGAUCUGAGAGGGUGAGCGGCCACACUAGAACUGAGACACGGUCCAGACUACUACGGGAGGCAGCGGUGGGGAGUCGUCCGCAAUGGGCGAAAGCCUGACGGAGCAACGCCACGUGGGUGAUAAGGGUCUUCGGAUCGUAAAACUCUAUUAUUAGGGAAGAACGAAUAUGUAAGUAACGGUGCACAAGUUGACGGUACCUAAUCAGAAAGCCACGGCUAACUACGUG